rnacentral:rRNA from 1 species
GACGAACGCUGGCGGCGUGCUUAACACAUGCAAGUCGAACGAUGAAGAAGAGAAACGCGAACUUCGGCUCAAAUUUCACUUCGGAUUAGUGGCAGACGGGUGAGUAACGCGUGAGCAACCUACCUCUUACAAAGGGAUAGCCUCGGGAAACCGUGAUUAAUACCAUAUGACACCUUCAUAAGGCAUCUUAAGAAUGUUAAAGCUACGGCGGUAAGAGAUGGGCUCGCGUCCCUUUAGCUAGUUGGUGAGGUAAAGGCCCACCAAGGCGACGAUGGGUAACCGGCCUGAGAGAGUGAGCGGUCACAUUGGAACUGAGACACGGUCCAAACUCCUACGGGAGGCAGCAGUGGGGAAUAGUGCACAAUGGAGGGAACUCUGAUGCAGCGACGCCGCGUGAGCGAUGAAGGAAUUCGUUUCGUAAAGCUCUGUUCUAUGGGAAGAAAAGGACUGUACCAUAGGAGAAAGCCCCGGCUAAAUACGUG